rnacentral:rRNA from 1 species
AUUGAACGCUGGCGGCAGGCCUAACACAUGCAAGUCGAACGAGUGGCGGACGGGUGAGUAAUGUCUGGGACACUGCCCGAUGGAGGGGGAUAACUACUGGAAACGGUAGCUAAUACCGCAUACCAUCGGAUGUGCCCAGAUGGGAUUAGCUGGUAGGUGGGGUAAUGGCUCACCUAGGCGACGAUCCCUAGCUGGUCUGAGAGGAUGCCCGGCCACACGGGAACUGAAACAGGGACCAUACUCCUACGGGAGGCAGCAGUGGGGAAUAGUGGACAAUGGGCGCAAGCCUGAUGCAGCCAGGGCGCGUGUAUGAAGAAGGCCUUCGGUGUGUAAAGUACUUUCAGCGAGUAGGCGUUACUCGCAGAAGAAGCACCGGCUAACUCCGUGCCAGCAGCCGCGGUAAUAC